CAGUAUAGUGUGUUGGAACCAUUGAGCGCGAGGGCGAACAUACUAUACUCGAUCGAUCUGCUUUUGUUCUGCUUCUGUUUUAUGUUAUUUAUUUCCAAUCUAUACCGGAUCUAUGAAAUUGCUUCUUUGCAUCGUCUAUUAUCUUCUGCAACUGCUUUAUCACGACAACGUACGUAGUGUGUCAAGCACAAGUGCGGCUUAAGAAUAACGGGGUGAUUCUCCUUUGGCAGAGACAAACACACACACACAUAUAUAUAUAUAUAUGCAUUGAUCCAUAUAUAUAUAUAUAUAUAUAGUGUGCGUAUAAUAUAAUUUCUUUUCUGUUCUGCCAAAGGAGAAUUGCCCUGCUAUUCACUCCCACAGGGACUUAACCCAGCAGGCUCCCAUAUAUAUAUAUGAUGGAUUCUUCAUAAUAUAUAUCAUCGGGAGAAAGGUGAUUGGUGAUUGAAAUCAUGAGAGGAAUUAAAUCAAGAAGGAAGGAAGGACUGGUUGUUAAUUUAUCAAUGUCAAUUUCAAGCCUGCAUGCAGUGUCAAUUAAUUGAUUUCAGAAAAUUAUCAGAAGCUCGAUCCGACGAGUAGCUGGCUAGCCUUGUAUACUGCUAUUUAUUGUAAAAACCUUUGAAUUAAUUAAUGGUGGUUGAUUAGUUUUUCUACUAA